UGACGCGCAGCGCGGUUUGGAGGCAGAGCCGUGGCGCUGGGUGCGGGGCGCUGCCCCGUCGUAUCACCUCUGCGCACCUCUGUGGGUGCCCUCCUUCAGGGGGUCUGCAACAGGAGAAAAUGAAGUUCCAUCUGAAGACGCCCUAAUACUACAGCUUCACCUUGCAAAAGGUCAUGAGAAAUUUACUGAAAUGCUAAAAAGCCAGCAGCAGAUCAUUGUAGAUUUACAGCAGAAACUUGCUGAACAGCAACAUGUAUUGGUUAGCCAGCAACGGGAGAUUCUUGAACAGCAAAGAAAAAUGUAUGAGCAAAUGGAUCUGAUCAAAGUGCAGUAUGGCUUGCUUUUUGACACAGUGAAACAAAUGUCAUUUCAGAGUUUGCAAGAAGAUAUUCAAAAUUAUUUUGAAAGUCAUCUUCAAGGACUUCAGAACCAGGUCAGGAAUCAUCUCCAGAAGUCAUACUCUGUACAUAAAGUAGAAGUGGAUGCAAAAGUGAUAAAUGUAGGGGAGUCUUUGCUGGACUGUGGUCUUUGUGAAAGUGAUGAAUUUUGCAAUUUCCAAAAGACACCUUCACAAUGUGAAAAAUGCACAUUGUGUCCUGCUGGUUUUUUCCAAAUGGCUGAUUGCUCUGCAAACUCUGAUCGGAUUUGCCAGGACAGAGAUGAAUGCACUGAAUCUCCAAGCAUUUGUGGCGAGAGAAUAAAAUGCCUGAAUACUCCAGGUGGCUUCCGAUGCCUUGGAAUUGCUGAGAAAGAUGCAGCUCUGGGAUUGUGUGGAGAAGAGUAUUUCUUUAAUAAGGAAAUGCAAGAAUGCCAAGCGUGUUUGAAAUGUGAAGAUGGAAUGGUGGCCAUGCCUUGUUCCACUGUUAGUGACACGGUUUGUUCAGCAACCAGUGAAAGCAAGCUAUCAGAAUCUUGGGCUGCAAACAUCAUUUUACCAUCUGUGAAGUCUGGCAUCUCUCAGGUCUACUCUGGCUUGAACUUGAAGAUAAGGGAAAAGCUCCACUGUGACAUCCUGUCCAUUGAAGAUCACAGCCUGAUAUUCAAGCAGCAUGGUCUUUUGUGGACUGACCUAAAUUUUGCAGUAAAACACAACUGCAGGAAUUUUUUGCAACUUUCCUUGAAGCUAAAUGGUAGUGAAGAAGGCUAUGAACUGAGUGGUGUUCGCAUUGAACAGCCAGAAGGAAAAUAUUUCCAGAGCACCAGUUUAAGCAGCGCUGCUGAGGUGGAGCCCAGCCAAACUCUUUCCGUGUUUUUGAGGAGCCCAAACCAAUUCUGCAAUCAGAGUAAAGACUUACAUAUUUAUGAUCUUAAUAGCCCACUAAGUCUGUUCUGGUUGUCUCAUGACACGGGUGCUGUGGCAAUCAGUGCACACAUGUCAACAGCAAUGCAUUACCAAACCAACUAUCGACCUACAUUUAAAAUAGUUUCUGUUUCCGACCCUUACAUGCUAAGUUUAUCUCAUGAUGGCAGAGCUAUAAAAUUCACUGAAACAGGUGUUGUCAAAUUUGUGUUGCACCAAGCAUUGUAUUCUAUGGGUCACACUUGUGUCCGGGAGGGUUUCUCCUUAAUUUCUUAUAUAAAUAGGAAUGGUACCAACAGAGAAUUAAUGAAUGUAUUUAAAUCUGGGGUAAAUUACAGAGAUACAUCAAUAUCUGCUUCUGGUGCCACAAAAGUUGCUGCUGGAGAUCUGAUUAGCUUUGAGAUACUCUCUCCUGCACAAUGUAAUGUUCGUUAUUUCGGAGAUAGUUCUGGGAUUAGUAUGUUUAGCCUUAUCUGGAUACCUUCAGCAGUUUCUAGUGCCAUAUCAGCCACAGUUUCUGUUACAGGACUGCCUACUGGAGCUGUGAGAAACAAAUUACUGGAUUUCACCCAGAUCUCAUCCAAUGAGAAACAGAUACAGCUGGUUUCUUCUGGACAGCUUGCUCAGAAGUACUUCAUUUUUACGGAAAAGGGAGUUGCCAGUCUUGCAUUUAACUUAAAGCUAAUCCAUUCAUGCAGUGUGCUCAAAGUGACUCUCAACCAGUUGACCAUGGAUCACAUGCAACCCACCAUAAUUGCUCAGCAGAUUGGAGGACAGAUGCCAGAGGGAAGCAUAUGGACCAGUGUGACCCUCCGUGCAUCUUUUGAAGUACAUAAUGGAACGCUGAUAUCAGUUUCUCUUGACUGUGUACGUGGAAGGAUCAAUCAGAUCACUCAUGAACAUGGAACCAGUAUAUCUAUUUUAUGGAUUUCAUCUUAAUUUCUGUACAGUGAAAAUAGCACAGAACUGGGGUUUAAAUUGGAUUUGGAUUCUACUCUGAUUCUUUGUCUGUAUUUGACACCUUACAGUGUGUCAAUGUGAACAUAUUGUCCCACUAAAGUGCUCUCAAAUUUAGGAAUAUUUAAAUAUAAUCUUAAUUAAAUGAUCAGUAUUUAAAGAAAGAGAGCUUUCAGAAUUCCAAGAUAAGAUAGUACUUCUGUUAACAUAAUCAGGCAAGGGAUCUAUGGAUUCAACUCAAAACUAUUUUUUUAAAAUGCAGUCUCUUGAAAUUAAUUAUUUCUGGACCACAGAAAAUUGCAGGUGAGAGUAAAAACAUAUCUUUUGGUACUGGAACUGAAAGCAGUGCAGCCAAGUAAUGGAAGUCUGCUUUCACUUUCUUCUGCCAACAAGACUAAAUGCACUCGGAGGCAAAUUUGUUUACAUCUUAUAAAAUGUUGUGCUCAAUCUUUAAGUGCCUUAAGCAUGCCUCAAAGUAGAAAUGGUAAUACGGUAACAUUGAAUUAUACUUGCACAAUAUCGUAAAAAUGGACCUCAGUCAAAAAUAGAACAUUGUUUUUACAAAACAUAAUGACUGUUCUCAUCAUGAACGUUGUAACUAAUGAUCUUUCUAAUUUAAUUUUGAAAUAAUCUGCUUUUAAGUAAUUUGGGAAGACUUGUUCCCAUUUUAAGUUGUGGCGAGUGAAUGGUUGCAUGAUGAGAAGGAAGGAAGUAUUAGAAACAUGUCUUGAAAGUCAAGCUUUAAAAGGAAACAGACUUUUAUUCAGUUUCUUACCAAUUGUGUGUUCUUUUUAUGACCAAAAGGGGACACCUUUCACAAGCAUGCUUAUUUUGCUGAACUGGUGCUUAAUUUUAGAAGUUCUUUUUUAGUUAAAUCACUCAAUUAAUUCUAAAAUGAAAUUAUGUAUUCAAUGACACUGAUUAUUGUCUUCUUCCAACUCUUCUGUCAAACUGCUCUUUCUGAUCUGUGUUUCUCUCCUUUCUUCUCCUGAAGCAUCACUACUGCUUCACUCUGUUCUUAUUUUGUUAGGAACAAACAGCAUUCUCUGUCAUGUAGCUCGACUCCUUCCACCUAUCCUUCACCAGCCCUACUAAAGAACAGGUGUGUAUGUGUGUCACAUAUAUAAGAGGAACUUUAAUAAGACAGCUGCAAACUGCCUACCAUCAACCUAUUUGAAAGUGAGACUACUAUGCAUGAUAUGACUUUACUGUGGGUGUCUGUCUGAGCACAUGUAUCCUAAAUGCAUGCACUUUUCUGUGCUCUUCACCUGUUCUGUUUUUUGUUUGUUUGUUUUGGUUUGGUUUGUUUUUUUUUUGUAAAAGCGUGAACACAAAUGCAGGAGUUCCAUCUGGUGCUUCCAUUUUUACUUGUAAUUUUCUAAUCAUGUCAUUAUCACUUGUGGUUACCUUUCCCUCAUCCUUUCUUCAGGUUUGAACUCAGAGAUACGCAGACUUUGGACAAAUUGUUCUCCUGCACCAAGCAGAAUGCUAGUAUUUCUUGUUUCAGCUCUUAAGUAAGUCUGAGCAACCCAUUGCAAUAUACCUCACUGGAUGCUGUGUUGAGGCCAACACAACCACAGUAAGUUCAGUCCUGGCAUCAUAUCUUCUCUAACAAACUCACCUCUACAAAGAGGUGGUUUUGUGAGGAGAGUGUCAAAGGCCUUCUUUCCCUCAGAAGCAGACAGCUCACUGCUGUAUCAGGAUGUCUGUGCUGCAAGAGAAGCUCUGCAGAGAGCAGACCUGGGUAUUUCUGCAGUGAAACUGCAGGGAAGUCAAUGUUGGAGAAGGCUUGAGAUAGGAUUCUUAUGUUUUCACUUGACGGAAAGUCAAGAAAAUAAUUUUCUCAUGGACAUAACCCCUUAUUUUUCUUGUCUGCUUUACUGUAUGCAGUUGUUUUAGAGGCUGUCAGCCCCAUUAAAAUGAUAGCUUAAGAGUAAUUCUGGAUUUAAACCUGUGUAGCAGAUAAUCAGAAUCUAAUGUAGGAUGUAAUCUAAUACAUCUUCAGCAAAGUGCAGAUGUUACUUGAAUAAAAUAAGCAUUUGCCUUUAUGUAGCAUAUAGCACAUCUAACAGAAUGAUUUGUAUGUGUAUAUUUUACGUAAGUGAGUUUGUAAUACCGGUGGAAUUGCUUGAAUAUGGAGAAGACUAAUGCUUAAAUCCUGUACUGUGCACACAGUGAUGGCACUUCCAUUUAAAUGUGCCAUUAUUAAAGGAUGCAGAAGCUACCAGGGAGCUACAAGUGAGCAUUAUUACAGCUAAGGGAAAUUUCAGAGUGUGAAAUUGUAAAUACAGUAUAUCUUUUCUGAAGAUUCUUGGGGGAGUGCCCAUAAUUGCCCUCAAGUUAAGAGUAGAUUUUUAGAUACAUAGGGCAGAAAUGUGGUAUUUUGCAGCCGUCUGGUAAUGGUAAUGAUGGUAAUGUAUUUCACAUGGUUUUGCUAUUGUCAUCUGUGAUAUUCAUAUGAUGAACAGCAACAAAAAUUCUUCUAAAUACAAACUAUUAACUGCAACUUGCAGCAAGCUUAGCCCUACUUCAGUCAAGAAAUUUGAGCCUGUUUUCAUCACUAUCUUUAAAAAAAAUACAGCCUAAAUUAAGAGUUCAGCCCACUUAGUUACAGGAAUGUGAAUUUGGAGUAAGUGUGUUGGAGUCAGCUUGGAUUUAUGGUAGUAUAACUAACAGCGUAGCAUAUAGCCUUUGCCUCUAUGAAAAUGAUAUAUAUUACCUCAUUCCGUGCAACAUUAAGUGGUGCACUGCAGUCCUACAUAAGAUAAAGUUCAAAAGCAAUCAAACAAUGUACGAUGAAUACUAAUUUUAUGGCACUUAUCCCAUUUGCUGUAAUUAAUUGCAUGCUUUAUUCUUGACAGAUAUACCCUAUCAAUUAUAUUUACAACUUAGGAACUUUUUAUUUCAAGUUUUUAUAUGGUUUCUUUCUUUUAGUAGCAUAAUAUAAUGCUGUGAAGUACAGAAUUCAUUAAAAUGUUUUUUUCUUUUGCAUCUUUUGAUACCACGUUCAUGAAUACUCUUAAAAACCUGGGAGACUGUCUCCAAACCUUGUUUCUAAUGGGGACACUCAAAGUCUUGCAGAGUAAGUGCAAGUACAGAGGCUAGUGAAGUCUGUACAGAAAGCGUGGAAGUUAAUACAUCUAUGUAGAUCACUCCAAAAGUAAUGCCUCCUAUUUAUUUCCAUGGAAACUACAACUGAUACAAAGAGCACAGUAACACUGUUUGAUAGAACAAAUUCUAAGCUACAAAACAGGUAUCUUUAAACACUGUCACCACUAUUAGCCACAUGUUUUGCCAGUGAUGAACAAGAGCCUGCAUGCUGCGCUUGUCAAAAUCUGCACCAGUGGAGGUGACCCACUGUCACCACUGCUGAAACACACCACCCACCCCAUCACCAUGCCCACAUCCACUGCUAGGGCUCUGUAAAUGUUCAGCAAGUCAAUGAAUUUCAGUAGGUGCAAUUUGUUCCACAUGGAGGUGUACAACGACACACCUUUGUUUGAUCUGCACUUCCAUGUCAGACACCGUUCUGUCAGACUGCCCCUCUGCUGCUGUCUGUCAUGGCAAAAAAUAAUGGGAUGUUGGUGGGAAGGUUCAACCUCUACUGCCAUACCACCAACAUCCACCUCUGAGAGCAUGGGUCAAGAUAAUAAGAUAGGAAGCAUUACUUUCAAAGCAGCCUUCACAGAAAGGUGAAUGUUUUACUUAUGCAGACAAUGGGAAAUGUUGUGGAAAAUGUGACUAUUACAGGAGGAGAAUAAUUUAGGUUGUGUAGUGCUGCUCACAUAAGAGGAAAAAGGAUCUGCCUUACAAAAACCAGCAUCACUUAAUAUCAACCAUUUUGCAAUUUGAGAGAGUUUGCCUGGAUAUAUUUUAUUACCUGUACACUUUCGUGCUUUCUGAAGUCAAAACUGGGUAGAAUGCAUCAACUAUUUUAAUAUUUUGGAUCAUUCCCUUUGUUCUGUGGUCUGUGCAGAUGGCAGUACACUGUGAAAAUGACACUAGUUUCAAGUGGUGCUUUUUAAUAAAAUUUCCUACUUUGAAAUAGUACCUUGUGUUUAAAAAUACCAUUUAGACACUUCUGUUAAUAUUAUAUUGUAAUACGUUUUAAGAGAACUUUGCUGAAAUAAAUACAACAAAAAAGCUC
ensembl:lncRNA